AGGAUAAUAGUUAAAUAUAACAUUUGAAUUGCAAUCAAAAAGUGUUGCCGAAUCAACUUAUCUUA
rnacentral:tRNA from 1 species